rfam:Apaloderma vittatum contig81011, whole genome shotgun sequence.
UGGCCUAGUUCUGUGUGGAAGACUAGUGAUUUUGUUGUUUUUAGAUAACUAAACUGACAACAAAUCACAGUCUGCCAUAUGGCACAGACCA